rnacentral:rRNA from 1 species
CGUACACUCCUACGGGAGGCAGCAGUGGGGAAUAUUGGACAAUGGGCGCAAGCCUGAUCCAGCCAUGCCGCGUGAGUGAUGAAGGCCCUAGGGUUGUAAAGCUCUUUCACCGGUGAAGAUAAUGACGGUAACCGGAGAAGAAGCCCCGGCUAACUUCGUGCCAGCAGCCGCGGUAAUACGAAGGGGGCUAGCGUUGUUCGGAUUUACUGGGCGUAAAGCGCACGUAGGCGGACUAUUAAGUCAGGGGUGAAAUCCCGGGGCUCAACCCCGGAACUGCCUUUGAUACUGGUAGUCUUGAGUUCGAGAGAGGUGAGUGGAAUUCCGAGUGGAGAGGUGAAAUUCGUAGAUAUUCGGAGGAACACCAGUGGCGAAGGCGGCUCACUGGCUCGAUACUGACGCUGAGGUGCGAAAGCGUGGGGAGCAAACAGGAUUAGAAACCCUGGUAGUCCC